rnacentral:rRNA from 1 species
GAUGAACGCUGGCGGCGUGCCUAAUACAUGCAAGUCGAGCGAACGGACGAGAAGCUUGCUUCUCUGAUGUUAGCGGCGGACGGGUGAGUAACACGUGGAUAACCUACCUAUAAGACUGGGAUAACUUCGGGAAACCGGAGCUAAUACCGGAUAAUAUUUUGAACCGCAUGGUUCAAAAGUGAAAGACGGUCUUGCUGUCACUUAUAGAUGGAUCCGCGCUGCAUUAGCUAGUUGGUAAGGUAACGGCUUACCAAGGCAACGAUGCAUAGCCGACCUGAGAGGGUGAUCGGACACACUGGAACUGAGACACGGUCCAGACUCCUACGGGAGGCAGCAGUAGGGAAUCUUCCGCAAUGGGCGAAAGCCUGACGGAGCAACGCCGCGUGAGUGAUGAAGGUCUUCGGAUCGUAAAGCUCUGUUAUUAGGGAAGAACAUAUGUGUAAGUAACUGUGCACAUCUUGACGGUACCUAAACAGAAAGCCACGGCUAACUACGUG